rnacentral:rRNA from 1 species
AUUGAACGCUGGAGGCGUGCUUAACACAUGCAAGUCGUGCGAGAAAGGGGCUUCGGUCCUGAGUAGAGCGGCGCACGGGUGAGUAACGCGUGGGUGAUCUCCCUUGGUGAUCGGGAUAACAGCGGGAAACUGCUGCUAAUACCGGAUAAUCUUCAUGUUUAACUUCAUGGGGUAAAGGUGGCCUCUGCUUGCAAGCUACCACAUCAAGAUGAGCCCGCGUCUCAUUAGCUAGUUGGUAGGGUAAUGGCCUACCAAGGCUACGAUGAGUAGCUGGUCUGAGAGGAUGACCAGCCACACUGGGACUGGAACACGGCCCAGACUCCUACGGGAGGCAGCAGUGGGGAAUAUUGCGCAAUGGGCGAAAGCCUGACGCAGCGACGCCUCGUGAGGGAUGAAGGUCUUCGGAUCGUAAACCUCUGUCAAGAGGGAAGAAACCCUUGGAUUCGAAUAGGGUCCUUGGCUGACGGUACCUCAAAAGGAAGCACCGGCUAACUCCGUGCCAGCAGCCGCGGUAAUACGGAGGGUGCAAGCGUUAAUCGGAAUCACUGGGCGUAAAGCGCUCGUAGGCGGUUUGGUCAGUCAGAUGUGAAAGCCCUCGGCU